rnacentral:tRNA from 1 species
GGAGGCAUCGUCUAGUGGUAGGACGGCAGAUUGACAUUCUGCAAGCGGGAGUCCAAUUCUCCCUGCCUCCA